rnacentral:rRNA from 1 species
GACGAACGCUGGCGGCGUGCUUAACACAUGCAAGUCGAACGGAGUGGCGAACGGGUGAGUAACACGUGGGUGAUCUGCCUUGCACUUCGGGAUAAUCUUGGGAAACUGGGUCUAAUACCGGAUAGUGGAUGAUGAGGUCGCGGCCUAUCGGCUUGUUGGUGGGGUAAUGGCCUACCAAGGCGUCGACGGGUAGCCGGCCUGAGAGGGUGUACGGGAAAAUAAGGACUGGGGUACGGCGCAGACUCCAACGGGAGGCAGUAGAGGGGAAUAUUGCACAAUGGGCGGAAGCCUGCUGCGGCGACGCCGGGUGUGGGAUGAAGGCCUUCGGGUUGUAAACUCCUUGAGACAGGGACGCGGGACCUGUAUAAGAAGCACCGGCUAACUACGUGCCAGCAGCCGCGGUAAUAC